rnacentral:rRNA from 1 species
UCCCUAUGGGGUGCACCAGGCGCGAAACCUCCUCAAUGCACUUACAUGCGAAGGGGCUACCUCGAGUGCCACCUGAUGAAGGUGGCUUUUCCUAGGUCUAAAAAGCCUUGGGAAUAAGAGGGGGGCAAGACUGGUGUCAGCCGCCGCGGUAACACCAGCCCCUCGAGUGGUGGGGAUGAUUAUUGGGCCUAAAGCGUCCGUAGCCUGCCGUGUAAGUUUCCCGUUAAAUCCAGCGUCUUAAGCGUUGGACCGCGGGAAAUACUGUACGGCUAGAGAGUGGGAGAGGUCAGCGGUAUUCUGGGGGUAGGGGCGAAAUCCUUUGAUCCCCGGAGGACCACCAGUGGCGAAGGCUGCUGUCUAGAACACGUCUGACGGUCAGGGACGAAAGCUGGGGUAGCGAACCGGAUUAGAUACCCGGGUAGUCCCAGCCGUAAACGAUGCAUGCUAGGUGCUGGGUUGGCCACGAGCCACCUCAGUGCCGCAGGGAAGCCGUUAAGCAUGCCGCCUGGGAAGUACGAUCGCAAGGUUGAAACUUAAAGGAAUUGGCGGGGGAGCACCACCAGGCGUGAAGCCUGCGGUUUAAUUGGAUUCAACGCCGGAA